CGUGUGUGUUGUGUGAGUGUGUGUGCGUGUGGGUACACACACACACACACACACACACACACACACACACACACA
rnacentral:miRNA from 1 species